AAAGCAGAGAGUGAGACUGGUGAGGAAGGUCCUAUGGUGACAGAGUCAGACAUCCAGCACAUUGUGUCUUCAUGGACUGGUAUCCCUGUAGAGAAGGUAUCAACCGAUGAGUCUGAUCGCCUCCUCAAGAUGGAAGAAACCCUUCACAAACGUGUCAUAGGCCAAGAUGAAGCUGUCAAAGCCAUAAGCCGAGCCAUUCGCCGUGCACGUGUUGGACUCAAGAACCCUAACCGUCCAAUAGCCAGUUUCAUAUUCUCUGGUCCUACCGGUGUCGGGAAAUCAGAGCUUGCCAAAGCUUUGGCAGCUUACUACUUUGGAUCUGAAGAAGCCAUGAUUCGUCUAGAUAUGAGUGAGUUCAUGGAAAGGCACACAGUCUCGAAACUCAUAGGUUCGCCUCCUGGAUACGUCGGUUACACUGAAGGAGGUCAGCUAACGGAAGCAGUCAGACGCCGCCCUUACACAGUCGUUCUAUUCGACGAGAUAGAGAAAGCCCACCCAGAUGUUUUCAACAUG
rnacentral:lncRNA from 1 species